CGGUGGUUGAGCGCAGGCGGAGGGGUUGUUUUUGCUGCCACACAAGGAGCUCAUGUGGGGGUUUCCCUUUUAUCUUUCAUGCCUGAAGCUUUGUGUUGUUCUUGGAAAGUUGCGCACCACUUGUGAAUUCCCUGAACCUUGGCCUUGCCAGCCCCUUUGU